UACGUAGGGUGCGAGCGUUGUCCGGAAUUAUUGGGCGUAAAGAGCUCGUAGGCGGUGUGUCGCGUCGGUCGUGAAAACUUGGGGCUUAACUCUGAGCUUGCGGUCGAUACGGGCAUCACUGGAGUUCGGCAGGGGGAGACUGGAAUUCCUGGUGUAGCGGUGGAAUGCGCAGAUAUCAGGAGGGAACACCGGUGGGCGAAAGGCGGGGUCUC
rnacentral:rRNA from 1 species